rnacentral:rRNA from 1 species
AAUCUUGCACAAUGGGGGCAACCCUGAUGCAGCGACGCCGCGUGAGCGAUGAAGCCCUUCGGGGCGUAAAGCUCUUUCGACCGGAACGAUAAUGACGGUACCGGGAGAAGAAGCUGCGGCUAACUACGUGCCAGCAGCCGCGGUAAUACGUAGGCAGCAAGCGUUGUUCGGAGUUACUGGGCGUAAAGAGUGCGUAGGCGGUUUUCUAAGUUCGGUGUGAAAUCUCCCGGCUUAACUGGGAGGGUGCGCCGAAGACUGGGAAGCUGGAGUGUGGGAAAGGCAGGCGGAAUUCCUGGUGUAGCGGUGAAAUGCGCAGAUAUCAGGAGGAACACCUGCGAUGUAGACGGCUUGCUAGACCAUAACUGACGCUGAGGCACGAAAGCGUGGGUAGCAAACA